CUUCCGCUUCCAAAGUGUUAAAUGGUAAGGCAAACUUCUUCAAACAGUUCGUGCAUUUAGUUUCAUAGAACUGCUUUUUUCUUUUAAUUCCUUCUGUGCUUCGAGGUUUUUUUGGCUGUUUUUGAAUGGGACUGAGCUGAUGGAGGCUUUUAUAAUAAUAAACCUAUUGAGGAGAUGAAAGAUAAUGUGACAGGGGAUUCUGUCAACAAGAAGCUUUGCAUGCUUGCCACAGUGUCAAUAUUGUUGCUGAUGCUCUUAUCUCUGAUUUCAAUGCCAUGGUUGUCAAUCUCAUUGCACCCCCUCUAGGCUGUCUUCUCUUCUUCCUUUCUACCCCAUUUUUAUUGAAACGGUGCGUUGGGGUCUUCUCCUUGUGACUGUCUUCUUUUCAACCCGAUCACCUCUGCUCAGCUCCUGAGAAAGGGAAAUGAGUGCGAAAAGUAAAAUCACCUCGAGAUAUUUGCAGAACUCGAGGUCUUUCAAUUGAGAAGGGAUCAUUUGCGUGUUCUUUGCUGCCACUGCAACCACUGCUGCUGCUACUUUUGCUUUUUUUCAUAGGUUACUCAGGUUCAUUUACCCCCAGAGAUAGGGCGUGCCUCUUUCAGCUGAACACUGUUAAGGACCCUAGUGUCAAGAGAUUGAGGAGGAUGGCAAUCAUGUUCUAUAUUUAUGUCAAAUGUUCUUGCAGUUCCGGUGCAAGUUACUUCCUCCCAUGAUGCUAUUUUGGUCUCAUCCCUUUUGCAUCAAAUUCCUCUUGCAAUGCUUGUGAGACUUUUCUGGAUUGCUCUGGUGGUUUGCUGUCCAUAUAUUCUGCUGCCUCUCCAUGGCUAGUAAGAUAUGAGUCUGGCUUUAAUGAGAAAAAGUGGUGGGCUGAUGAGAUUAUUUUUCUUUGUAAGCUUUGUUCUCUGCAUUGGGUUAGAGCUUGGGCUGAUGGCAUCUUGUUUUUGGACUAAGAUUCUGUGGCUUUAAGGAGACUUGGUGAAGUCUUUGAAGCAUGUUGCCCUGUCAAAUUUAUCACCUGUUGAUUGUCAGUGGCAUCCAGAAGAAGUGAAUGGUUAUCUAUCACCUCUGCAAGCAGCUGGAUUUCCAGUUCUCUUUCUCCCAUUUGUAUUUUUUCCUUCCCCUAAAAAGUUGCCAAGAUAGGCCUUGGGUUUCUUCCUAUGUAUUUCAACUGUUUGUUCAUUCAUAGCUCCCUGUGUAUCACAACUUGUCCUGAAAAUUUUAAUUUAGUAUU